rnacentral:rRNA from 1 species
CCUACGGGAGGCAGCAGUGGGGAAUCUUGCGCAAUGGGCGAAAGCCUGACGCAGCCAUGCCGCGUGAAUGAUGAAGGUCUUAGGAUUGUAAAAUUCUUUCACCGGGGACGAUAAUGACGGUACCCGGAGAAGAAGCCCCGGCUAACUUCGUGCCAGCAGCCGCGGUAAUACGAAGGGGGCUAGCGUUGCUCGGAAUUACUGGGCGUAAAGGGAGCGUAGGCGGAUAGUUUAGUCAGAGGUGAAAGCCCAGGGCUCAACCUUGGAAUUGCCUUUGAUACUGGCUAUCUUGAGUAUGGGAGAGGUUAGCGGAACUCCGAGUGUAGAGGUGAAAUUCGUAGAUAUUCGGAAGAACACCAGUGGCGAAGGCGGCUAACUGGCCCAUUACUGACGCUGAGGCUCGAAAGCGUGGGGAGCAAACAGGAUUAGAUACCCUGGUAGUCCACGCCGUAAACGAUGAGUGCUAGUUGUCGGCAUGCAUGCAUGUCGGUGACGCAGCUAACGCAUUAAGCACUCCGCCUGGGGAGUACGGUCGCAAGAUUAAAACUCAAAAGAGAAGUGACGCGUGAGAGCGACGACGACGACGACGGAGGGAGGAG